rnacentral:tmRNA from 1 species
GCCCUCGCAAUCCGCGCGGCGAUGCCCUAUAUCGCUCCUGCCGCUUGCGGCUAUGGCGAUAAACGUUGCGUGGAAUAAGCGUUGCGGACCCGGGGGCAGUACUCGGCGUCUCCACCAAAUUGACCAGACCCUUUAUCGGGGGCGGCCAGGGGGGACGAAAUAGCUUCGACGCGCGCGGUAAAGACGCUGCUUUUGCCCGGCAUUGUACCGCCGUCAUCGGGCUAAAUCACAAGUGCCAACGAUAACGUUCGUGAGAACGUGGCGCUCGCUGCCUAGAGAUAGGUAAGCGCGGUUCGGGGGGCACCGGGCAACAGAAGCCCCCCACU